UUAUGACAUCAUCAAAGAUCCAAUAGAUUUAAAAACAAUGUCAAAGCGGGUUGAGUCGGAGUUAUAUUAUGUGACAUUUGAUAUGUUUUUGGCGGAUGUGAGAAGGAUGUUUGCGAACGCUCGCACCUAUAACUCUCCUGAGACCAUUUACUACAAAUGUUCAACCAGGCUUGAAUCACAUUUCUCAAACAAAGUUCAAGCUGGUCUACAGUCUAGCAUCAAGAUUCAGUAGGAAGUUCAUUAUUCGAUAUUUAUGAAGUUGAUUCUGGUUCAAGUGAAUCCCAUCAUAAUUGAUGCCUUAUGAUAUCAUCCGACCCUGGUGUUUCAUGAGAGUACUUGUAUAAUUUGUAUACUAAGUAGAUGUACAAUAGUUAAUUGAAGUUGUUACUUGAGUGAGUUUUACACCAGUUGCUGGUGGUACACAAAGUAAUCUUUAUAUGUGGGUAACCCCAAGGCAGUACAUGUUUAUUUUGUAAAAAGUUGUCACUGACGCAUUAUGUUAGGGUUAAAUUAUGCAACCAAUUAGGGUUGUAUGACUUGUUUGGUUAGCAACUGUUGUAUCCGACUUAACUUAUGAAAUCGAAG
rnacentral:misc_RNA from 1 species